rnacentral:rRNA from 1 species
CCCUUAGAUGUCCGGGGCUGCACGCGCGCUACACUGACGCACGCAACAGGUGCCUGCUCCGAGAGGACUGGGUAAUCAUUUGAGUGUGCGUCGUGAUGGGGAUAGAAUAUUGUAAUUAUUACUCUUCAACGAGGAAUUCCUAGUAAGCGCAAGUCAGCAGCUUGCGCUGAUUACGUCCCUGCCCUUUGUACACACCGCCCGUCGCUCCUACCGAUGGGUGAUCCGGUGAAUGAUUCGGACUUCAGCGGCUCCUCUGGGGUGCGCCGGAGAAAGUUUUGUGAACCUUAUCACUUGGAGGAAGGAGAAGUCGUAACA